UACGUAGGGUGCAAGCGUUAAUCGGAAUUAUUGGGCGUAAAGCGCACGUAGGCGGCUUUGCAAGUCCCAUGUGAAAGCCCACGGCUCAACCGUGGAAGUGCAUGGGAAACUGCAGAGCUUGAGUACUUAAGAGGAUCGCGGAAUUCCCGGUGUAGAGGUGAAAUUCGUAGAUAUCGGGAGGAACACCAGUGGCGAAGGCGGCGAUCUGGGAAGAUACUGACGCUGAGGUGCGAAAGCGUGGGGAGCAAACAGG
rnacentral:rRNA from 1 species